ACAAAAUACCCCUUCCGAGCCUUUUCUCCUAAAACGCAAGCUGCGUCAUGGAAAAAGGCCAAUGGGUAUAACUGGAAACGGUUAUGCCUCCCGUGUUUGGAAAGGAAGGAAAAUUCUAAAGGG
rnacentral:ncRNA from 2 species